rnacentral:rRNA from 1 species
CCUACGGGAGGCAGCAGUGGGGAAUUUUGCACAAUGGGGGAAACCCUGAUGCAGCGACGCCGCGUGGAGGAUGAAGGCCUUCGGGUUGUAAACUCCUUUUGUAAGGAACGAUGAUGACGGUACCUUACGAAUAAGCCACGGCUAACUCUGUGCCAGCAGCCGCGGUAAGACAGAGGUGGCGAGCGUUGUUCGGAAUCACUGGGCUUAAAGGGCGCGUAGGUGGUAGUGCAAGUCUGGGGUGGAAUCCCAGGGCUUAACCCUGGAACUGCCUUGGAAACUG